UACGGGGGGGGCAAGCGUUGUUCGGAAUUACUGGGCGUAAAGGGCUCGUAGGCGGCCAACUAAGUCAUACGUGAAAUCCCUCGGCUUAACCGGGGAACUGCGUCUGAUACUGGAUGGCUUGAGUUCGGGAGAGGGAUGUGGAAUUCCAGGUGUAGCGGUGAAAUGCGUAGAUAUCUGGAGGAACACCGGUGGCGAAGGCGGCAUCCUGGACCGGUAUUGACGCUGAGGAGCGAAAGCCAGGGGAGCAAACGGG
rnacentral:rRNA from 1 species